CUAGGACGUUGUGACCUGUCAUAAAUAUUCUAAGUAUUUGGCUAUAAAGUCUGUUCUAAGUUAUACCGUUAAGGUAUUUUUCUUUAAAACAGUUUUAGCCGUUUUAUAUACUGGAUAAAAUUGACAGUAACGAAUUAUGGUGUUGAGCCACAUGAAAUUAUAUAUAUGUAAAAAUAUAUAUAAUGGAAAGUGUCCUAAAAUAUGGCUGUUUGCAAGUGGGUUGGUAAAAAAUAGUUUCAAUUCGGAUUUUUAACCGGUUAACUAUUCCGCCUACUGUUGGUAAACUGUUCCUAGGACUGUGCUUAUUAUCACCGGUCGGCAGCGAUUCAGGUUCAGGCUCUUAUCCGACCCGUCUUGAAACACGGACCAAGGAGUUUAGCGUGUACGCAAGUCAUUGGGCCUAUAAACCCAUAGGCAAAAUGAAAGUAAAGAGUUGGAGUUUUGUAAAUUUUUACAUUCUCUACUUUAGGGAAGAUGGAAAAUAUUGUGCAGCAAUGUAUAAGAUUUUCCCGCAUUCCCAGGGCGCUUGAUUCUUGCUUUGCAAGUCAAUGCGCACCUAUAGCGUACACGCUGAUACCCGAAAGAUGGUGAACUAUGCCUGGCCAGGACGAAGCCAGGGGAUACCCUGGUGGAGGUCCGCAGCGAUUCUGACGUGCAAAUCGAUCGUCGGAGCUGGGUAUAGGGGCGAAAGACCAAUCGAACCAUCUAGUAGCUGGUUCCCUCUGAAGUUUCCCUCAGGAUAGCUUGCACUCGGUUGAGACGAGUCUCAUCCGGUAGAGCGAAUGAUUAGAGGCAUUGGGGUCGAAACGACCUCAACCUAUUCUCAAACUCCAAAUAGAUGAGAUCCCCGGCUUUCUUAAAAGUGAAGCCGUGGGAAUAGGAUCAGAGUGCCAAGUGGGCCAAUUUUGGUAAGCAGAACUGGCGCUGUGGGAUGAACCAAACGCAGAGUUAAGGCGCCUAAAUUGACGCUCAUGUGAAACCAUGAAAGGCGUUGGUUGCUUAAGACAGCAGGACGGUGGCCAUGGAAGUUGGAAUCCGCUAAGGAGUGUGUAACAACUCACCUGCCGAAGCAACUAGCCCUGAAAAUGGAUGGCGCUGUAGCGUCGUGCCUAUACUCUGCCGUCAAUGACAAAGAUGAUUAAUAAGCUGUGUGUUAAUUAAUGUUGUAGUCUUGACUGCAGUAUUGUUAAUUACAAAGUUUAUUACUAUAUCAUCAUUAUGUCUUGAUGAGUAAGAGGGCCGCGGCGAUGAGCGCAGAAGGGUCUGGGCGAGU
rnacentral:ncRNA from 1 species